rnacentral:rRNA from 1 species
GGGCGGCGCAGCCUACACAUGCAAGUCGAACGGUAACAGGAAGCAGCUUGCUGCUUUGCUGACGAGUGGCGGACGGGUGAGUAAUGUCUGGGAAACUGCCUGAUGGAGGGGGAUAACUACUGGAAACGGUAGCUAAUACCGCAUAACGUCGCAAGACCAAAGAGGGGGACCUUCGGGCCUCUUGCCAUCGGAUGUGCCCAGAUGGGAUUAGCUUGUUGGUGGGGUAACGGCUCACCAAGGCGACGAUCCCUAGCUGGUCUGAGAGGAUGACCAGCCACACUGGAACUGAGACACGGUCCAGACUCCUACGGGAGGCAGCAGUGGGGAAUAUUGCACAAUGGGCGCAAGCCUGAUGCAGCCAUGCCGCGUGUAUGAAGAAGGCCUUCGGGUUGUAAAGUACUUUCAGCGGGGAGGAAGGGAGUAAAGUUAAUACCUUUGCUCAUUGACGUUACCCGCAGAAGAAGCACCGGCUAACUCCGUGCCAGCAGCCGCGGUAAUACGGAGGGUGCAAGCGUUAAUCGGAAUUACUGGGCGUAAAGCGCACGCAGGCGGUUUGUUAAGUCAGAUGUGAAAUCCCCGGGCUCAACCUGGGAACUGCAUCUGAUACUGGCAAGCUUGAGUCUCGUAGAGGGGGGUAGAAUUCCAGGUGUAGCGGUGAAAUGCGUAGAGAUCUGGAGGAAUACCGGUGGCGAAGGCGGCCCCCUGGACGAAGACUGACGCUCAGGUGCGAAAGCGUGGGGAGCAAACAGGAUUAGAUACCCUGGUAGUCCACGCCGUAAACGAUGUCGACUUGGAGGUUGUGCCCUUGAGGCGUGGCUUCCGGAGCUAACGCGUUAAGUCGACCGCCUGGGGAGUACGGCCGCAAGGUUAAACUCAAAUGAAUUGACGGGGGCCCGCACAGCGGUGGAGCAUGUGGUUUAAUUCGAUGCACGCGAAGACCUUACCUGGUCUUGACUCCACGAACUUUCCAAGAUGGAUUGGUGCUUCGGAACUGUGAACAGUGCUGCUGCUGCCUCACUCGGGUUGGAAUGUGGGUAGUCCGCACGAGGCACCCUUUCUUUGUGCACGGUCGGCGGAA